rnacentral:sRNA from 1 species
GAACAUGGUGUACAGGCUAAAUAAAGCUG